AUGGCUGAAAAUACCCUCCAAUAUGCUUCUGCCAGCCCACCCAUUAGACCAGGAAUGGGACCGCACCGCACCGAACCCAGCUCCCUCACCCCCUCGAAACGCAUAUCCCUCCCUCUGUCCCUCACCCUCGUCUCUCUCUCAUCAAGUACUUAGAAAAUCCUUCGCCCCUCAAUGCCGUGAACGUCUCUCCCAUCGACACUGUGAACAUCUUCACCCAUUUAUGCUGUGAACUUCAUUGUAAUUACCAUUGAUGUCGCAUUCUAUGGUCAUUGACGCCAGAUUCCUAGAUCCCAUCGACACCACCCUCGCGAGCUCCUAUCUCCCAUCGAUCUGGCGCAUGCAAAACGUAGGCUUGCCCCUCUCCUUAGGCGUCUCUUAACAAAUGAUGAUGGUUUUUGUUUUAUUGUAAUUAUUAAUUUAUACGAAAAAAUAUUCUUGGGAUCAAUAUGUGUUAUUUCCAUUGUCUGAAAAGAAGCGAAGAGACCCAAAUCUCUUUAUAAGUCUUAAAAGCUCUUCUUUUACACCUUUCCUUUUGCAAAGGGUUGAAUUGAGGUAUAGGUGUUUGAUUUAAUGUUCUUAUGAGCUCUUGAAUCUCUGGCACGUCUGUUUAACAUGUCAGAAUUUGUUCGUCGUUACCCAUGUAAAAGGUUUUAUGCUGGUUCUUCUUGUUAAAUUUAUUGUAAGCUAUGCCUUGGUGGUAGCGUGUAAGCAUUUUAGUACAGUAGGCAACCUUCUUUUUUCCUCGUUUUCCAUUUUAUGGUUACAUGUUGAUGGAAUUUUUGUCAUGAAUUUUUUCUUUAAUUUCUUUAAUAAAAAAAAUUAUUCGUGUUUGCCAGUGCUUUGCUCUAGGAAAAGCAUAUACAAAUAGGUGUUUUAUGUCAGACAAUAUAUAAUAUAUAUUACCAUGUAACCUUCAAAAUAUAGCUGCUUGGACCAUUAUCGUUCUCUUGCAUCAGCAGUUUAAUUUUGCCCCUCUUUCCCUGAAGGAUCCCAACAAAACCCACCAAAAAGAAAAAACACAUUUAAUUGUUUGUUAUGGUCUUCUGUUUCAGCAGAGGAUUUUUCAUGCAUGUAACUACAACAUUUCCUUCAUACAUUUGGAUUCACAAACUGGUAGUUUCAGUCAUGUGAGGAACAAAUAAACUAGCUGUCAUAAACUGGUGGUUUCGUUUUUUUUUUUUUUUAAAAAAAAAAAAAAAAAAAGAAGGGCUAGAACUCACAAGAUGCCCCAUUUCUUGUCUUGUCCCUGACCUUUUCCUAACUUGACGGAUUGGGAGAGCCUCUUAGCAUAGACCUAAGCAUCCGAAGAAUUGGAGUUGGCAAUAUAUUAUUCGCAGUUGCUUUCACACUGAUGCUAAUGCCUAUUUCAGGUUGAUAAUGUCCAGGGGUGUUCAUAUGGGCCGGGUUUUACCCGGCCCAGUCCGGAACCCGGAUAACCGGAUAUCCGGUUACGGGUUUCGGCCCGGAUUAAAUCCGGACUGAAACCCGUAUUCUGAAAAACCGGGUAUAUGCGGUCCCGAUCCGGUUUGAAAUGCGGUUUAUGUUUUAAGACACCGGGUACCGGUUUUGUACAAAAUGAAAAGUGAAACCUACUCGUCUCCCAGCCGAACCCAUUCUCAUUUUCGUGCACCUCUCUCUGUCUCUCUCUCUCUCAAUCCGAAGAAACCCUAGCCUCCCUCUCUCACUGCCGAUCGAAGACAAGAAUCAAGAUGGCCUCCCUUUCCUCCCUCAGUGCCGAUCGAAGAAAAGAAAAAGAUUUGCAGAGGGUCCCAAACUACUAGAUGCUGGUGGCUAUCGGGGAGAUCUAACAAAGGGGGAAAUCCUUUGAUUUCUGUUUGGGGAUGCACAAGUGUUGGGUGCUCUGUCUAGGUUUUCUUCAUCGCUAUAAGACCAAUUCAUGGGGGAGGAAUGCUAGGCAAAUCAAUUAAGGCCAAAAGACAGAUCACUCGAAAUUGCUACUUGAAGUUGCUACUUGUUGGAAUUAUUUUUUAAUUCAAAUCUUGUAGUUUUGUAUUUUGUAUUGUAAUAUAAUGUGUAAAUAACAAAAUAAUGUAAUAUGUAAUGGAUUGCAUGCAUUUUAGUUUUUCAUUUUUAUAUA